rnacentral:tRNA from 1 species
UGCCGAGUUAGUUAAAUGGUAUAACAGUGCACUCGUAAUGCACAAUUAGCAGUUCGAUUCUGCUACUCGGCAU